UGAUAUCUUUUGUACUUCCAUAUUUCUCUUGGGUAGACAGGUCCCUUUGCCUUUUGAUAGCUUAGGUAGAAGGAAUGCCUUGGCCACAGCAGUACAUGACCAGCCUUACCAUUAAGCAGGACGAGGCCUCCACUGCAGGCAGCCGAUGCUGAGUGGUGUGGAAUGGACGGAGAUGAAUGCGCUAUGGGACCUGCUCUGCACCCCCUAAGCUACCCUGUUGCCCUCAGGUGCCAUGGAGGGCCCUGUCCUGUUGCCGGUGUUUAAAUCAGUUUCAACUGCCAGCCCGGUUAGCUUUCGUACAUGGAAUCUGGCAGUCGGCACCACGUUGUCCUUUGCCUCAGGCAGCAAAACGCUUGGGACCGUACCUGCAGCAGUGACAUUGCACAUCAGUGCGUGUUUUCCACCUCACAUGCACACAAGCCCCUGCAACUACAAGACCAGCCAAAUCUCAGCACCAACUUCACGGAAAAUUAAAAUAGCAGAAAUGUUCUUUUCUACAUGAAACAGAAGAAACGUAGUUUAUCUUUUACUAUUCUAAAUGACACCUGAGUGAACUUGGCUAACUUGCUAGUUGUUUUCAGAUGUCUCCACUUCCAGCGUGAGCUGGCAUAAAGCCAUUUUUAACUAUCAUAGUUUCCCCACCCUCCGAAGGACCACAAGAAAUUCAAGCUUUGUCAAGAUGCCAAGAGUUCCCAGGGGGCUUCAACUGGGAACCAUGGAUGUUGAACAAGUUUAAUUUCAUAGCAGGGGUCCACAAUCUCAUGGCACAUAUGUCUAGAUCUUAUACUUUGUCAGAAUCCGGACUUAAACAAUGUAAUAACUUCACAUUGCUUUACAGUUCAAUUCCUUUUUAUUGAUUCUUCAGCACUUUUUACUAUGGCAAUUUAUCCGGCAUUUAUCCGCACGCAGGCGGGUUAGGCAUUUGCAUGUGGAACUUUUAAAACACCGCAUGAGCUGCAUCGCUCCAUCGGUUAUGUUAGCCACCCAUAACUCCAAAUAUGAAAUGAAAAGCUGCAAGAAGGAAAUUGAACAUUAAAUUUAAAGUUUUCCCCUGAGAGUUUUGGACUACGCAAAGGGGUACAAUUUUGUUUGUUUAACGCAGGAAGAUACGGUCUUAAGAUUGUGAACGUGUUUGUGUGUGUGCAUGUUAAUUUUUGUAUUUUUAGAAAGAGUAUUUGUAUAUAAAGAAAAGGCUACUA